CGUGUAGGCGGUGCUUCAAGUUGGAUGUGAAAUCUCCUGGCCUAACUGGGAGGGGCCAUUCAAAAACUGGGGCACUUGAGGGCAGAAGAGGGAAGUGGAAUUCCCGGUGUAGCGGUGGAAUGCGUAGAUAUCGGGAGGAACACCUGUGGCGAAAGCGGCUUCCUGGGCUGCCCCUGACGCUGAUACGCGAAAGCUAGGGGAGCGAACG
rnacentral:rRNA from 1 species